rnacentral:rRNA from 13 species
UAGACGAGAAGACCCCGUGGAUCUUUACUUUUCGCAUAUAUUGAAGCAUCCUCGCUGGUGAAGAGCAAAGGUGGGAGCUUAUGACUUCGUCUCGUCAGAGACUUAAAGAGGCACUCCUGAAAGACCACCCUCCAGCGAGGGUUCUUCUUCAUUCUUCGGAAAACAGUGUAUGCUAGAAAGUUUGACUGGGGCGGUGGCCUCCUACAGAUGAACGGAGGCGUACGAAGGUAAGUUCGGCUUGGUUGGACACCAAGAGU